rnacentral:rRNA from 1 species
UACGGAGGAUCCGAGCGUUAUCCGGAUUUAUUGGGUUUAAAGGGUGCGCAGGCGGGAGAUUAAGUCGGCGGUGAAAUUUUGCAGCUCAACUGUAAAAGUGCCUUCGAUACUGGUUUCCUUGAGUGUGGAUGAAGUAGGCGGAAUUUGUGGUGUAGCGGUGAAAUGCUUAGGAUAUCACGAGGAACUCCGAUUGCGCAGGCAGCUUACUAAACCACUACUGACGCUCAGGCACGAAGGCGUGGGGAUCAAACAGGAUUAGAUACCCCUGGUA